AAAUUGAAGAGUUUGAUCAUGGCUCAGAUUGAACGCUGGCGGCAGGCCUAACACAUGCAAGUCGAACGGUAACAGGAAGCAGCUUGCUGCUUCGCUGACGAGUGGCGGACGGGUGAGUAAUGUCUGGGAAGCUGCCUGAUGGAGGGGGAUAACUACUGGAAACGGUGGCUAAUACCGCAUAACGUCGCAAGA
rnacentral:rRNA from 2 species